GGUUCUAUAGUGUAAUGGAUAGCAUCCGACCCUCCGAAGGUCGUAGUUCAGGUUCGAGUCCUGAUAGGACCA
rnacentral:tRNA from 1 species